GGGACAUCAUAACAGAUCUAUGGACCUGAUUGAAGCAUGCAAGUUCUAGUAGAGGAAAAUAUUACUACCAGUCAUCUUUUGACUUGCAGAGAGUCCCAGUAAGGAAGUAUUUCCCAAGUAAGUGGAUUGAUCUCAUAAGAGCACUGCCGCCAACUUUUGUCCAAUCCUAGCAGCGUUGGAUUCAAGCAUCAAUCCAUGGAGGCUCGUAUGGCAUUGCAGGAUUUCAGUGAAACACUCUUGCAUAUACUUCAAAAUACAGCACUGACAUGGCCCCUGGCAGCUGCAGCACCAGGAGCCGAAGAGGAUAUGCAGGACAAAGAUUACGGCAGCUGCAAAGUGUCAGCUAAAGGUAAGUAAAACUUACCUUGCGCCUCUGCACCUAGAUAGGUCAUUUUUUGGCCUCUACAAGAUAUGUAAAGUCCCUUAAAAGUGACAGAUAUACUUUAACUGGCAGAGAGUGGUCAAAUAAGGAGCCCAGCAUUAGGCAACUGUUUACCCCAUUACUAGGAAACAGAUCAGGCUAAUCCUCACAUCACGUGUUCUGCAGUGGACUUCAGGGCUUGUGAUGGUUGAAGUAACCACGUCGCUGCCUCUUCCUCCGCCGCUCCUCCCCUUCAUUAUGACAGCCGGCGCGAGACUGAUCCCGCCCACCGGCCGGGGAGGCCUAAUGCGCAUGCGCAGCAAUGCGGCGCACGUGCAUUAGAGCUCCCCAUAGGAAACCAUUGAAAAUGCUUUUCAAUGCUUUCCUAUGGGGAAUUGAACGACGCUGGAGGUCCUCACACAGCGUGAGCGACGCUGGAGUUAACCCUGCAAGGUAAUUAUUGCAGUUUAUGAAAACUUGCAGGGUUAAGGGUAGUGGGAGUUGGCAAUCAGACCGCUCCAAUGGGCAGAAGUGGUCUGGGUGCCUGGAGUGUCCCUUUAAGAGGCGUCCGUAGACGGAGUGCGUGCCGUACAACCUAUCGUCCCCCGUCGCCGGAAUCGCAGCUUUCAAUCAGCGCGUGUCGUGUAAAGCGCCGUCGCUCAGAGAGAGGAUUUCUGUUAAUAUUAAGAUUGGAUAAAUAUAACGUGCGCGUGGCGCAGUGGCGGUAAUGAAUGGAUUCGCCGUUACGCCCAG